AGAGUUUGAUCUGGCUCAGGACGAACGCUGGCGGCGUGCAUAAAACAUGCAAGUCGAACGGAGCUCAGCCGCAAGGCUGAGCUCAGUGGCGAACGGCUGAGUAACACGUAGGUGACCUGCCCCGAAGUGGGGGAUAACUCCUCGAAAGAGGUGCUAAUACCGCAUGUGAUCACCGCUUCAUUGCGGUGGUCAAAGGCGUAAGCCGCUUUGGGAGGGGCCUGCGGCGGAUCAGCUAGUUGGUGGGGUAAUGGCUCACCAAGGCUCGGAUCCGUAGCUGGUCUGAGAGGAUGGCCAGCCAGACUGGGACUGAGACACGGCCCAGACUCCUACGGGAGGCAGCAGUUAGGGAUCUUGUGCAAUGGGGGAAACCCUGACACAGCAACGCCGCGUGAGGGAUGAAGGCCUUCGGGUCGUAAACCUCUUUUCUGAGGGAAGAAACCUGACGGUACCUCAGGAAUAAGCAACGGCUAACUACGUGCCAGCAGCCGCGGUAAUACGUAGGUUGCGAGCGUUGUCCGGAAUCACUGGGCGUAAAGCGCACGCAGGCGGCUUCGCAAGCCCAUGGUGAAAGCCCUCGGCCCAACCGAGGGAGGCCCAUGGGAACUGCGGGGCUCAGAAGACGGGAGAGGCGGAUGGAAUUUCCGGUGUAGCGGUAAAAUGCGUAGAUACCGGAAGGAACACCAGUGGCGAAAGCGAUCCGCUGGCCCGCUCUUGACGCUCAGGUGCGAAAGCUAGGGGAGCGACCGGGAUUAGAUACCCCGUUAGUCCUAGCCGUAAACAAUGGGCACUAGGUGUUGUCGGUAUCGACCCCGGCAGUGCCGAAGCUAACGCAUUAAGUGCCCCGC
rnacentral:rRNA from 1 species